GCGUAAUCAUUUGCCCCCUAAUUAGGGGCCUGUAUGAACGGGAAAACGAGAAUGGCACUGUCUCUCCUUCCACCUCUAUAACCUUAUCUCUAGGUGAAAAAGCCUAGAUAGUUAUAAAAGACAAAAAGACCCCGUCGAGCUUUAAUUUCUCUAUAACCAAAAUCCACCCCUAUAAGAAAUUUUCGUUGGGGCGACACGGGAAUACAAUAUCUUCCCCCACAUAUUAGACACCACGUCACACUACCUUAAAGACCCUCCCUCGAUAAUAGGAACCAGCUACCGCGGGGAUAACAGGCUAAUUUCCUGCACGAGCCCGCAUCUACCAGGAAGAUUGG
rnacentral:rRNA from 1 species